UACGAAGGGGGGCUAGCGUUGCUCGGAAUCACUGGGCGUAAAGGGUGCGUAGGCGGGUUCUUAAGUCAGAGGUGAAAUCCUGGAGCUCAACUCCAGAACUGCCUCUGAUACUGAUAGUCUUGAGUAUGGGGAGAGGUGAGUGGAACUGCGAGUGUAGAGGUGAAAUUCGUAGAUAUUCGCAAGAACACCAGUGGCGAAGGCGGCUCACUGGCCCAUAACUGACGCUGAGGCACGGAAAGCGUGGGGGAGCAAACAGG
rnacentral:rRNA from 1 species